GAGGAUCAGAGUGGCCUCACCAUCCCCAUCAUCAUUGGGUUUCUUGUUCUCCUCCUCGCUGCUGCUUCUGCUGUUGUUGGAGUCUUUGUGUACCAGAAGAGGAACGGUUCUGACACCAGCUCUGAGAACACUGAGGGGCAGAAUCCGGCUCCUGAGGCCCAACCUCUGACCACAAAACAAUAAAUGUCCAGUGCCAACGCCAUGCAGUCCCCCAUCGUCUGAGUUCGACACAACGCAGGCAAGGCCGCCUUAAUGCACGGGCUUACCUGGGCUGAAGCCCUAGGCCUAGGGCCUACGACAAUCAGGGGUCUAUCAUGUAACCUGACUCUCGCCAGAUCAACUUCGAUCCACCUCUCCGCUCAUCCAUCUGGGAUCGCUCCCGUUGGGCGGGAUUUGGGGACAAGAUCGAAUGGUAGAGCCAAUCAAGACCGCCAGGCGGGAUUUUUAUAGAUGUGACCAGCGGCGUGGCGUGGG
ensembl:lncRNA